ensembl:miRNA
GGAUUCCUGGCAGAGUGAUUUGGUAUUGUGUCAUAAAAUCACAUUGCCAGGGAUUUCC